CGACCUGAAGGUUAUCUACAAUCAUCAUCGUCUCCGUGUGGAAGCAAGAUGAAGGCCAGCGUCUUAGUCCUCCUCGCGCUACUCAGCGUCGUCAUGGUGACAGCCACUCCUACUGACUGGUCAGACCACCAGCAGCAAGAAGUGAGCAGACGACAGCCAUCACCGGCAGCAGCAGCAGCCCAGGAGCUGGCAGAAAACAAACGUCUGCUUUUUCCAGGAGGUCAAUGGUAGA